GGGGACUGUGGCUGGUGGUGGCCCAGCUUCUGUUCUCACUGCUCUGUGGAAAGAGCCCUCCACCAAUCACCAAUAACUUCCUAACUGAUAGAUCUGCGAGCCAGGACUUCCCCUAGAGAAACUUUACACGCAAGCGGAGGUGGAGAGAAGCAUUAAACAAGUAAAUAAACAUAGAGUCCUUUUCCAGGUGUUCUCCAUUUCUUGGGAAUGGAGGAAGUGCUUGGGAUUCUCAGCUGGGACACGUAGACCGAACCUCUAACUGAUCACAAAAUAAACAUAUCACUUGUAAAAAUAACACUGGAACAAUUCACAACCUACGAUGCAGGCUUCCAGUGACACUUCCAACUCUGGUUGUUUAUCCCGAUCUGUGAAAAAGAGCAUUCUUCAGAUUUGGAGUCGUUGGCAGUGAUGUGCACAAUGCAGCGUUUCCAGAAUCAUCCACCGCUCGAGGUGGAGGCGUGUUUGAAAUUGCCCAGAAAGGGGGGGCGUUUCGCAAAACAAGGACAGAAACGAGCUACCUAUGCAAUAAAGAGUGACUUAUUCUCAAAGUCAGUUCAGGACGUUAGCCUUCCUGGAAAGGAAUCCUUCUAAAUCGGAACGGAAGGAAAGUGUUUUAUUUCUUUGGCUGAUGUCUCCUUUAAGGAGUAAAACCUGUUUUCCACACGGGACUUUGAGAUGGAGUCAUUGGCAGAUUAAGUAGACAGCUCCUUCAUGGGAUGAUGCUCAAUUUGGACUUACAUUCUUUUAUUUGCUAGGGCUUCUAGAAUAUUACUUUGGUCAGGUUCCUAAAGUUAUAAGCUACUUGUCAUUCCCUCUGCCGACUCGUAUGUACAGAUACAUUAUCUCCAUAGAUUGCCACAGAUAAACUAAGAAAAAAAUCCAUUUUAGGUUUUCAAUCCUACUGUGGACUAAAAAUACAUCAUGCCCUACACAUGUGAAGAUCACAUCUGUGCUUUUUGCCUCACAGGUACCUCUCUAUGUGACCGAGAUGAAAUCACUACCUUCCUAUAGUGUUUGUAUUUGUAAUGUUCGUUUAAAAAUCAGACUCCCUCUAUAAAACUUGCAUUGUAACAUGAAGGAAAUA